rnacentral:rRNA from 1 species
GCAACCUGCCCAAAAGAGGGGGAUAACACUUGGAAACAGGUGCUAAUACCGCAUAACCAUAGUUACCGCAUGGUAACUAUGUAAAAGGUGGCUAUGCUACCGCUUUUGGAUGGGCCCGCGGCGCAUUAGCUAGUUGGUGGGGUAAAGGCUUACCAAGGCAAUGAUGCGUAGCCGAACUGAGAGGUUGAUCGGCCACAUUGGGACUGAGACACGGCCCAAACUCCUACGGGAGGCAGCAGUAGGGAAUCUUCCACAAUGGGCGAAAGCCUGAUGGAGCAACGCCGCGUGGGUGAAGAAGGUCUUCGGAUCGUAAAACCCUGUUGUUAGAGAAGAAAGUGCGUGAGAGUAACUGUUCACGUUUCGUCGGUAUCUAACCAGAAAGCCACGGCUAACUACGUGCCAGCAGCCGCGGUAAUACGUAGGUGGCAAGCGUUAUCCGGAUUUAUUGGGCGUAAAGGGAACGCAGGCGGUCUUUUAAGUCUGAUGUGAAAGCCUUCGGCUUAACCGGAGUAGUGCAUUGGAAACUGGGAGACUUGAGUGCAGAAGAGGAGAGUGGAACUCCAUGUGUAGCGGUGAAAUGCGUAGAUAUAUGGAAGAACACCAGUGGCGAAAGCGGCUCUCUGGUCUGUAACUGACGCUGAGGUUCGAAAGCGUGGGUAGCAAACAGGA